GGUCGAGUCGGCCUGCGCGGAAGAUGUAACGGGGCUAAACCAUGCACCGAAGCUGCGGCAGCGAACGUAUCACCCAAGACAACUUUACGGAGUUGACGAUUGACGGAGCGAAGCGACGUCAAAGCGUUCAUUAAAGUCGAGUUGGCUUAGGGAUACGUUCGUUGGGUAGGGGAGCGUUCUGUAAGCCUGUGAAGGUGUGUCGUGAGGCAUGCUGGAGGUAUCAGAAGUGCGAAUGCUGACAUAAGUAACGAUAAAGCGGGUGAAAAGCCCGCUCGCCGGAAGACCAAGGGUUCCUGUCCAACGUUAAUCGGGGCAGGGUGAGUCGACCCCUAAGGCGAGGCCGAAAGGCGUAGUCGAUGGGAAACGGGUUAAUAUUCCCGUACUUGGUGUUACUGCGAAGGGGGGACGGAGAAGGCUAUGUUGGCCGGGCGACGGUUGUCCCGGUUUAAGCGUGUAGGUGUGUGUUCCAGGUAAAUCCGGUUCACUUUAACACUGAGGCGUGACGACGAGGCACUACGGUGCUGAAGCAACAAAUGCCCUGCUUCCAGGAAAAGCCUCUAAGCAUCAGGUAACAUCAAAUCGUACCCCAAACCGACACAGGUGGUCAGGUAGAGAAUACCAAGGCGCUUGAGAGAACUCGGGUGAAGGAACUAGGCAAAAUGGUGCCGUAACUUCGGGAGAAGGCACGCUGACACGUAGGUGAAGUGAUUUACUCAUGGAGCUGAAGUCAGUCGAAGAUACCAGCUGGCUGCAACUGUUUAUUAAAAACACAGCACUGUGCAAACACGAAAGUGGACGUAUACGGUGUGACGCCUGCCCGGUGCCGGAAGGUUAAUUGAUGGGGUCAGCGCAAGCGAAGCUCCUGAUCGAAGCCCCGGUAAACGGCGGCCGUAACUAUAACGGUCCUAAGGUAGCGAAAUUCCUUGUCGGGUAAGUUCCGACCUGCACGAAUGGCGUAAUGAUGGCCAGGCUGUCUCCACCCGAGACUCAGUGAAAUUGAACUCGCUGUGAAGAUGCAGUGUACCCGCGGCAAGACGGAAAGACCCCGUGAACCUUUACUAUAGCUUGACACUGAACAUUGAGCCUUGAUGUGUAGGAUAGG
rnacentral:rRNA from 1 species